GUCUUACAGCAGGCGAGUGAGCGGCAAAAGCUCAAAUUUGAAAUCUAGCACUUUCAGUGUUCGAGUUGUAAUUUGAAGAAGGUAACUUUGGAAUUGGCUCUUGUCUAUGUUCCUUGGAACAGGACGUCACAGAGGGUGAGAAUCCCGUGCGAUGAGAUGUCCAAUUCUAUGUAAAGUGCUUUCGAAGAGUCGAGUUGUUUGGGAAUGCAGCUCUAAGUGGGUGGUAAAUUCCAUCUAAAGCUAAAUAUUGGCGAGAGACCGAUAGCGAACAAGUACAGUGAUGGAAAGAUGAAAAGAACUUUGAAAAGAGAGUGAAAAAGUACGUGAAAUUGUUGAAAGGGAAGGGCUUGAGAUCAGACUUGGUAUUUUGUGUUCCUUAUUCUUUUUGGAUUUGGUUCCUCACAGCUUACCGGGCCAGCAUCGGUUUGGAUGGUAGGAUAAUGACAUUGGAAUGUAGCUUUGCUUCGGUGAAGUGUUAUAGACUUUGUUGAUACUGCCUAUCUAGACCGAGGACUGCGUCUUUGACUAGGAUGCUGGCGUAAUGAUCUUAAGCCGCCCGUCUUGAACAACCGAACAAA
rnacentral:rRNA from 1 species